rnacentral:rRNA from 1 species
GACGAAGGAUGCAAGCGUUAUCCGGAUUCAUUGGGCUUAAAGGGCGCGUAGGUGGCCUUAUAAGUCAGGGGUGAAAUCUCUCGGCUUAACCGAGAAAUUGCCAUUGAUACUGUAGGGCUUGAGUAUAGUUGCCGUUGGCGGAAUAUGACAUGUAGUGGUGAAAUACAUAGAGAUGUCAUAGAACACCGAUUGCGAAGGCAGCUGACGAAGCUAUAACUGACACUGAGGCACGAAAGCCAGGGGAGCGAACGGG